GGGCUCUUAGAUCAACGGUAGAUCGCUUGCAUGGCAUGCAAGAGGCUGGGGGUUCGAAUCCCUCAGAGUCCA
rnacentral:tRNA from 1 species